UUCCCCAUUGCCACAUUUUUCUCCUAGUAAUAAAUUUUAGUGGCUGUGCUUAUGGAGUAGAUUAAAAUUGCCACGAUCUGAAGAGGGAAGACUUAUUUGUGUCCUCAUCCUAUAUGAAAUGGCUGAACAAGAAAAA